rnacentral:snRNA from 1 species
AGUUUUGCCCAGUGGCAGUAUCGUAGCAAAUGAGGUUUAUCCGAGGCGCGAUUAUUGCUAAUUGAAAACUAACUGGGAAUACUU